AGUGAACGCUGGCGGUAGGCCUAACACAUGCAAGUCGAACGGCAGCACAGUAAGAGCUUGCUCUUACGGGUGGCGAGUGGCGGACGGGUGAGGAAUACAUCGGAAUCUACUUUUUCGUGGGGGAUAACGUAGGGAAACUUACGCUAAUACCGCAUACGACCUACGGGUGAAAGCAGGGGAUCUUCGGACCUUGCGCGAUUGAAUGAGCCGAUGUCGGAUUAGCUAGUUGGCGGGGUAAAGGCCCACCAAGGCGACGAUCCGUAGCUGGUCUGAGAGGAUGAUCAGCCACGCUGGAACUGAGACACGGUCCAGACUCCUACGGGAGGCAGCAGUGGGGAAUAUUGGACAAUGGGCGCAAGCCUGAUCCAGCCAUACCGCGUGGGUGAAGAAGGCCUUCGGGUUGGAAAGCCCUUUUGUUGGGAAAGAAAAGCAGCAGGUUAAUACCCCGCUGUUCUGACGGUACCCAAAGAAUAAGCACCGGCUAACUUCGUG
rnacentral:rRNA from 1 species